rnacentral:rRNA from 1 species
GACGAACGCUGGCGGCGUGCUUAACACAUGCAAGUCGAGCGGAGCGGCGAACGGGUGAGUAACGCGUGAGUAACUGCCCCCCUCUCUGGGAUAACAGUUGGAAACGGCUGCUAAUACCGGAUAGUGGGGGAUGACUCGCGUCCUAUCAGCUUGUCGGUGGGGUAGUGGCCUACCAAGGCGACGACGGGUAGCCGGCCUGGGAGGGCGACCGGCAACAUUGGGCUGAGGUACGGGCCAGAGGCGUACGGGCGGAAGCAGUGGGGAGUAUUGCACAAUGGGGGAAACGCUGGUGCAGCAACGCCGCGUGCGGGAGGGCGGCUUUCGGGGUGUAAACCGCUUUCAGCCAUGACGCGGUAGUGGCAGAAGAAGCACCGGCUAACUACGUGCCAGCAGCCGCGGUAAUAC